CAUAUAUACACACACACACAACAAGUUGCAGAAGGGGAAGGGAGUGGAGGGGUUAAUCUUGGGGAAUCUUCUGCACUUAGCAAGAUCGUGACCCUCCCACACAGUACAGUAACUUAUAUACAUACCUGGAGGAAGGGAUGCUUUGCUUUGGGCUUCCUAAAAAUAUUUGGUGAUGGCUGAACCCUCCAACAUGCUCAUAGGACCGGACUCUGAUGCACCCACAAAGGCUGGCCUAGACGAGCAUCUGCUAAAGGCUACUCGAAGGUUCAGGAUUCUAGUCAAUGGAACAAGAGGAAGAUUCGAGUGCCUGUAAGACCAGGUCCCUUUGAUGAGGCUGCAGCUAACCCAGAGAAGGAGGGUCGUCUUCUCCUGAGUUGUUGUAUCCUUCACGGUUUUUCUACUUGCAGAUAAAGGGAUGGCGUGAUAUCUGACGUUAACGAUGCAGAUGAAGUGCUGCAUGCAGAAAUGUACAGGCCUCCACAUAUGACUAAAUAGGUUCAGGAGUUGUGGAACUUCUCUUGCACAGGGAAUGUGGAAAAGCUGCUGUUCUGGACAGAAUGAAGACCAGCCAAGGGAGGCAGAACCUCGGCAUUGCUGCAGCAGGCCUGGUACAGUAUUCGUAGCUUGCUUUACAUGCACUCAGGUUCUUUUACUGCGUCCAGGCUCUUUACUGCAAAGAAGAGUGCUUGUAAAAGCAGAAGAAAACAAGAAGCAGGAGAUCACACAAUGUUAUAUACCAGCUUUCCACAAACCAGUUUGACAACCCCUGAUAUACAGAUAAGAAAAGUCCUAUAUGGUGCAACCACAGUGAGCACAUGUUCUUUCUAAUGAUUUAUAAUUCCACUGUAUCCCACUCAAAAGCAAUGCAAGAAUCUGACUCUUGUUAUCUUGUAGAUGGGAGAGAGCAUUCUCUAUACAAUGUCAUUGUGAAGUUUUGGGGAUCAACCCGGACCAGUAAGGGGUUCUGUCACGCCAGCCUUGUACUUUUGGGGACCUUAAUGCUAUGCUGCUGUAGCUCAGAGCCCUGAUACCAAUAGCCAGCCUAGAAGCACAAAGGUCUCACCCUGGCUUCUACCAGCCUAGUUACUCCUUGCAGCGUAAUUCCAACAGCUCUGAAUCUCCCCAAAUCCAUCUACUCAAGUCUUAACUACCAGCCACUCGGACUUUUCCUCUCUGGUUCAUCACUCCUGAAAGUGCGAAAACAGCCCCCCAUUAUCAGCUCACUUUGGGACACAUACAUCAUACAAUUUGCACACCAGAGCCCUGCUAUGGGUAAAAAUAAACAAAAUGUGUAUUCAAUAGAAAAAAUCACAGAUUCAGAGUUGAAAUAGUAAGAAAAAGCAAACACAUACAAGUAGCACAGAAAAUAAACAUUAAGACGCAACUUCAGGAUUCACACUUCUAUAUUAGACAAUUUCCCUUUUCUAAUACAAGUUACCUAUUGCCUUUGAACAGUUUCCCAAUGUAUCCUGCCUAGAUGCUGGCCCUCAGUUUCCGCAUUAAAAAACCUCAGCCCUAAACCUACUUUUAAAAGGCUUUUUUCUCCUCCCCCACUUUUUCGUGUUUCUCCUAGCAUGAUGACUCAUGGUUCUCCAGAUUAGAGGAAACUUCCUCCUUUCUUAGGCAAUGUCUACACUAAAGACCUCACACCAGCACAGCCGUAUUGAUGCAGCUGAACCACUGUACACUCUGUAAUGUAGCCACUCUAGGCCAAUGGGAGAGAGUGCUCCCGUCAGUUCAUCUACUCCAGGCCCUGCGAGCGGCAAUAGCUAUGUCCACACGAGAAGCUCUCCGCCAACAUAGCGCUGUCCACACAGGCGCUUACAUUGGUGUGACUUAUGUCGCUCAGGGGGGUGAUUUGUUCAUUCCCCCCCCCCCGAGCGACAUAAGCUAUGCCAACAUAAGUUGUAGUGUAGACAUAGCCUUAGUUUUCCAAGACUGGUGUUUUCUUUUCAGUUUCAAUGUCUUUCCAUCAACUUUAAUGGUCCACAAUUGUCUCUUCCUGGCUGGACUAUGGAUGGGUACUUAAAGUUGGAUUCAUAUAAACAACUAGCCUGAAAAGUGUCUCUCCCUGCCUGAUUGCUUCACCACCCUGUUGUGAGGUGAUGCUGUAGCUGCAUCACAGUUAAAAUUACAAUUUUCUAUGCAUAUAUACAUGCAUACAUUCAUAACUAUAACCUGUAUACAUAGCUCCUAAUGACCAUCAAGUUCAGAACAUUACAAGUGUUCACAGAAGACUUCAUAUGACAUAUAGUUAUACCCAAUAACAUUGUAUACAACCAGUUGAUUCAAUUGCUCAUUCUUUGGGGUUCAGAUGCUUUGUUCUUUCCUUGGAAGUCUGGGACCUGAUUGUCACAAUCAUGGAGUAAAAACAAUUUUAUAGCUGUAUUGUUUUCUCUUAAAAUUAUAGUAGAGUUGUUUCUUCACCUCUCAUACACAUACUAACAUGCAUGUUCGGACUUACCAAAAAUACAUAACCGCUGUAUAUUUAAAGCAAAGUAUUCCUAGGAAUUAAUUAUAUAAAUUCUGGAAGGGUUGAUUAUUUGCUGCUAACUAAAGGUAAGGUAGAGAAACAGCAUCAAAAGGGAAAAAAAGUCAGUCCUGCAAGUUUGCCCUUGCUAUUGUAAUUAUGAAUCCACUAUGGCAGUCCUUAUGCAGAAAAUACCCUCACUGAGGACAAUGAGAGGUUUGCCUGACUACCGGCUACAGGAUUGGGCCCUACAUUUCCAUUUAUCAAUUGUACAGAUCUAAAAAAUGUAACCAAAUUUCACUGAAUAAUAUACAGCUUUGGUUUGCUAGGGAGGAAGCUCUCUGAGAGCCUGAUCCUGAGUGGUGCUUUGUCAGGAUCAGAUGUAUAAACAGGAAAAAAUAAAUUGUUAGCUAAGUUAUUCUACUCAAUAGCUACUUCAUUCUGUGUAUUAAUACGGAAAGUCAGCAAAAUUUUACUAGUGGCAACUCAGACUGCUCUAAGGACAAAUUUAUUCAUUGUCAUCAAAACCAAGAAUCAAUAGUAAUGGAUAUAUGGAUAAAUCCACAUCACGCUGACUUGGCUAAUUAUCCACUUCUUCACAAAGAUAUUUUCCUACAUCACAAUCCUAUGUCACGUGUAUCAGUUAACAUGCUGAGCUUGCUGCAUUACCAGCAUUAAACCUAAUGUAUAUGCUUGUUCAAGGGCAAAGAAAUCCAGAUUACACUGUGUUGUUGAACCCAACAAAACUUAAAUUCCACAGUAGAUUUAAUUGUUUGAUACAAUUUGAUUAUGCACACAGGCUUCUAUAAUUUAUUUAGAUUUGUAUUAAUAAUGUAUGCUGUUUGAGUGACAUGCUAUUGUAUGUUCUUUCAUAACAGGAAACAUAGCAAGCAUGUAUUUGUUAUUAAAAUAAAAAUGUAGUAUUUUAAAAAGA